ACGCUGGCGGCAUGCCUAACACAUGCAAGUCGAACGGUAACAGGUCUUCGGAUGCUGACGAGUGGCGCACGGGUGAGUAACGCGUGGAUAUCUGCCUAUUAGUGGGGGACAACUUUCGGAAACGGAAGCUAAUACCGCAUAAUCUCUACGGAGCAAAGCAGGGGACCUUUCGGGGCCUUGUGCUGAUAGAUGAGUCCGCGUCUGAUUAGCUAGUUGGUAGGGUAAAAGCCUACCAAGGCGAUGAUCAGUAGCUGGUUUGAGAGGAUGAUCAGCCACACUGGAACUGAGACACGGUCCAGACUCCUACGGGAGGCAGCAGUGGGGAAUUUUGCACAAUGGGGGAAACCCUGAUGCAGCGAUGCCGCGUGUGGGAAGAAGGCUUUCGAGUUGUAAAUCACUUUCAAUUGGGAAGAAGGGAUGAGWGUUAAUAACWCUCUGACUUGACGGUACCUUUAGAAGAAGCACCGGCUAAUUUCGUGCCAGCAGCCGCGGUAAUACGAAAGGUGCAAGCGUUGUUCGGAUUUACUGGGCGUAAAGAGAUCGUAGGUGGUUUGAUAAGUUGGAUGUGAAAUCCCGGGGCUCAACCUCGGAACUGCAUCCAAAACUGUCAGACUUGAGUUCGGGAGGGGUAAGCGGAAUUCCGUGUGUAGCAGUGAAAUGCGUAGAUAUACGGAGGAACACCUGAGGCGAARGCGGCUUACUGGACCGAUACUGACACUGAGGAUCGAAAGCGUGGGUAGCAAACAGGAUUAGAUACCCUGGUAGUCCACGCCCUAAACGAUGUCAACUAGCCGUUGCGGGUAUCGACCCCUGCAGUGGCGCAGCUAACGCGAUAAGUUGACCGCCUGGGGAGUACGGUCGC
rnacentral:rRNA from 1 species